UAUUAUUAUUAUUGUUGUUGUUGCUUUUGUCAUAAAAAAUAAAAUAAUAAAAAUAAUAUCAAGCACUCAAUAAUUUCUCUCCUGUUCUGUGUCAGCAAGCCUGGCAUACUACUGAGUAAUUACCAAGGCAGACGAGCCAGUGUUUAUAGAAGACAGACUCUGUGGCUGACACAUGAAGUUGUUCAAAUUUAAGAACAUAAUCAGUUAUUUUAAAACAUUGUUUACACACCACAGCCACACCCUGUGAGAGCUGCUUAUAAAAAGGAAGAGGCUGAGCUGCAGAAAUAAUACUGGAGUUUUUAACCUUCUCCUCAUCAUGACUCUGGUUUUACUUUCACUCAUUCUUUUAUUUUUGAUGGCCACCUCUGCAGUAAGUCUUUAUUCACAUGGUUGUUGUUUUGUUUUUUUUCGGGAGUAAAUCUGCUAUCCUUCACCAAUUCAACAGAACUGUGGUGAAAAUAUAUGAUGAAUGAAAUAAUAUUUGUUAAAAGUCAAAAUCUUCUACGGGGUGUAUCUUCAAUAUUAUGACUUGUUUCAGGCUGGUGUUGGUGGAGAAGAUGAAGAAGGUAAGAUCCUGAUUUUAAGUCUAGGAGGACGUUCCUCUGUGUAAUAACUGUUCUCUGUUGUCCUGUAGAAGACAAAGACGAAGCCAUUGAGCUGAUCGCAAGAGCAAAUAAAAGAUUACAUCUAUUUCAAGAAGACAUUGUUUGGUAUAAAAAUCGGAAUGCAGCUCCCUGCACAAAGUAUAAAUGCAAGUGGCCUAAACAAGGAAACCAUACGGUUGUGCCUUACGUGAUCUCAGCAAGAUACAAUCGAUGGGAGAAAUUCAGGAUCACUUCCAUCCUGAAAGGCUUUAGUGAGAAAACAUGUGUUAAAUUUGUUCUGAGGACCAAUCAGCGAGAUUAUAUCAACAUUUUCUCCGGAUACGGAUGCUGGUCUUUUGUGGGUCGUCUUAGGGGAAAACAGCCACUGUCCUUGAACAAAUAUCUUUGUAUGUACACCAAAGUGAUGCAGCAUGAAUUCCUCCAUGCUCUGGGUUUUCUCCAUGAGCAUUCCCGCUCCGACAGGA